CUGAAUUUCCUACGCCCCCAAACUCCAAGCACAGUGAGUACACAUGUGCACCGAAUUACAAGUGGCGCCUUCAGUUCCUGCUUCCAGAAGGAACCAGUCCUGGGAGAGGACAGCCAGGUCUCGCAGGACAUGGAAACAGGAGGCAAGAGGAAAGAGGUCCUGGGGCCAAGUGGCUGCGAGCCGGCCCCAGUCCAGCGCGCGGUAGAUGGCAAAGCCCAGCGACUGCACCAUCUGCAGGACGGGGCCGGAGAGUCGGCGGGGCGUGGGGGGCCCCCCGCAAGGGACCCAGCCAGGAGAGGGGCCGCCGCCCCGCCGGAGCACAGCGCGACAGCCAGCGGCCCGGCCGGAGGCCCCCGGAGGCCCUGCCACAAGCCAGCCGGACACGUCCGGAGCCGGCAGGACGCCUCCCAACCCGCGCGGCCGCCGUGGACAGCAGUUCAGCAGGCUCUCGGGGCCAAACGUGCUUUUACCGCGUGAAGUGAGGGCAACGCCCUCCCGAGUACCUAACCCAGAGAGAGGGAAGACGUGCGCCCACAGGGACUCGUCGGGAACGCCCAGAGCGCGCACACCUGCGAUGUCCAAAUGUCUUCAACGGGGACACGGAACACAAAGGUGACCCAUCCUUCCCGUGGGAUGCCAGGCUGCCAAGACCAAACUCAGGAACCCCCUUACACACAGACAGAACCCAGAGCCACAAAGCCAGACUACAUGCUUCCAUUCAUACAAAACCCUAGGCAAGAUGAAGCCAAUCUACAGCCGUAAAAAGCAGGUCACUGAUCAUAAAGCAUAUCCCAAUAAAUGUGAUUUAAAAAUACAGAUAACCGAAUCAAACAUUGGCUUUUAAAGUGACAUAAGAGUGUUUUAAAUCAGAGGAGAGAGACUAGCGUGCUAGAAUUGUUAACUACAUGGGAUACGGUACAGACACCUGAACUCAUAAAAAUUGACAUCCUCUCCCUUAAAAAAUACUGUAAACUCCAUGCAAAUUUCAACAUACAUAAAUUUAAUCUGGAAAAGAAGAAAAGUGAAGAAGCAAUGGCACCUGUGUGGGGGCUUGCCCAGGGACCAGGAGCUGUGGGCACCCAGCCAGGAAACCCUAUUUUCAUAGACUACCGUUAACCACUGGGACUCUGCCUUCUCCGGGGGGGCAUCUGCAGACCCCGCCACUCCAUUCGUGGCUCUGUCCAGUGGCCAUCGGCUCCUGGCAUGGGCUGCUCACAGGACUGCAGUCCUGGAAAGGUCAGGGCUGCUCGCACAGGGAAGAACCACGUGCCAUGUGCAGUGACGGGUGAGGACGACCACAGGGGUGCUGCUUCUAGCCUGCCUGACUUUCAUAUUUUGACAUUUCUCCUUUAUGACAAUGAUGCAGAAUGACCAUAGCUCUUCUUAUGUCAUCAGCUACACAGAGCCCUUGGCUACUUAACUCUAGGACAACCUAACCUGAGACCUAGGUCUCUAGGCAGAGCCACGGAGCCACGGAGCCAUGGAGUCAUGUGACCACAGCUGGCAGCCGGCGGAGCUGGACUUGGGACCCACGUCUGUCCCCAGCCUGGGCUCUAAGCCUUGCCCAAGACAGGAGGGAGCCACACCCUCACCUUCCACCCCGAGUCUGAGUCUGCCUAGCCUGAGGGAGUGGGGAGGCCUCUGGCCUCUCCUCUUGUUUCCCACACCUGCAGCCCAAGGGGACUGGCUUGAGCAGAGCUGAAGGACAUGGGGAGAGUCAGUGUUGGGCAGGGGACAGGCACAAGACAGCCUUCUCUAUCCCGCAGAAAUACCUCAGAGCACACCCUGGCCAGUGUGGGGAGAGGGCCUCCAACAGAGCCAAGUUCCAGUCUACAAAACCCCAGUCCACCCUUGGAGGUGGUCUUCUCUCUGCUUAGCCGGGCAAGAAUCACAAGCCUAAGUCAUGAGUCAGAGGGCAAAAGACCAGGGCCAGGCGGAGUCCCCUAUGGCAGUGGGACCCCCAUCAGGACUACUGGGCUGGCAAGAACCACAGGUCACACAAAUUCCCAUCGAUUCUUUCUUGGCCAGAGGUAGAGGUCAGAAAGGAGAUUGUGGGAGAGAUUCGUGUCCAUUCUCUACGCCACGGCCACUGCUGACUCAGGCGUGGCUGUGACCUGGUCUCUCCAUCAGAGACCACUCUACAACCCGGGGCAGACAGAGGGGCCCUGUAGGCCAGCCCCUGUUCCAGUGCAGCACCACAACCCACCAUGCCUCUCCCUCUUGCUCCUGGGAGCUGGCCUGAGCCAGUACCACGUCAGUUGAAGGGUUAACCCAACAGGAGCCUCUCAUCCGACAGCUGCUCUGUUAAAAGCUUCCCUGUGUUCCAGCCCAGACACUGGAAACCGCCCGAAAGGCAGAGAGCUCUUGCUUUCCCGUCAGGAACAAUCUGGGCAGCCAGCCAGGGUCUGAGAGCCUCCAGGCCUACCUGCCCACAGCGUUUUGGGAACUGAGCAGGCUCCCAACAGGCCAGCUGGGGCGAAUAGCCUGCUAACUGAGGGGCUUGGAGAGAGAAGGGACCGGGACUGCAGGACAGCGUGCACAGGAGGCUGGUAGCCGGAAUCUGGGUUAGCACAGCAAGUGGCCCCCUACAGUAGUUUCUGGAGUGGGGCUCCGGGGUUAGUCUGUAAGAGCGCAGACUGGACCCCCACAAACAAGGCUCCUUGUAAAUAUCAUCAGAACUGCUAAGAGAUCUCCUUUGGGGCGGCAGGUGGCCACGGCACAUUCAUGUGGGGACUCUGGGUAACAGGGGCCACCCUGGGAUCACUGUCUGAACGGCAGGGGACUGUUCCUGGGCUUUGGAUAAACAAAGUCUCCAGAGUACUCUGCCGGCCGCGGCAAUGCUGUCUUAUUCCCAGACCCAGCUACGGAAGCAACAUGGUCUGAGAGCCUCACCACGGAGGCAGUGUGCCACUGGGAAGUGUGUCUUAUCACUGACAGCAGCAAGAUUGUCAGCAUGUGCUGGGAAGAAAAAGCAGGAAAACUCUGGGAUGAUUCUAUUAUCGUUUUGCAAUUCUCCACGACAGACUAUAUGGCCUCUUUGCCGUGACCAGCCCCCCACCCUUGGUAUAAUGCUGUGUUCGGUACAUAAACACACAUUUGUCUAAAGCUUUCUUAAAGGCAGUAGAACGAUCCACAUUAAAUUCAGGACAAACUCCCGGAGGGUAGAGGUUCAGGGAGGCACUGGUCCUGCUGGUGAGGUCUGAAUUGUGGGCGGGGUGGACCGCAGUCACCGGCUGGUUUUCCUGCUUGCCCCUCAGACCCACGCCCUGACUGACCUUCUGCGUCCACAGACCACAGCACCUUUGCUCCCUCCCUCUGGUCCGUGGGAGGCAACACCAGCAGCUUGGGGGCAGAAUAGGAGAGGGAGGUAGGGUACCAUCGCCCACCCCUGCCCUUCAGGCCCUCCAAGGCCUGCCAGGUUCCACACUGACCAGUGGGCUCUGUCCUCACCUGCCUGUUCUCUUCAUCAAGUCCUUUCAAUGAAGCCCUUUGAGUAUUUUGUCUGUGUCCUACCUCAUGGAAACAAUUUUGUAACUUUAUAUGCUAUCUAAUUCACAUAAUAUGAGACAUAUUACUUUUAAUGCGUAUCAAGUAAAUUAAAAAAUUAUUUUAAAGGUACCUGGGCUUCUGAGCUGGCUGCUGACAACACCAUCGUUGUGGAAUCUGCAAGAGGAGACAACAGGCAGUCAAGACACACCCCAGCAACCCCAGGCCCUGGCAAAUAGGGCCGUCCACCCACCUGGUCUCCCAGGAAUACACAGUGUAUCCCAGAAAGCUUAAACGGGUCGAGCAGCCAGUCAUUUGGAAUGGACAUGCAGCGGCAGGAGACUCAGCCCCUGCCCACACCCUGCACAGCAGUCACACCCCAAUGGGACCCCUCAGAAGGGAGCAGCCAACAGGCUUCCCUG